rnacentral:rRNA from 1 species
UGGGGAAUUUUGCACAAUGGGGGAAACCCUGAUGCAGCGACGCCGCGUGAUUUAGAAGGCCUUCGGGUUGUAAAAAUCUUUUCUAUGGGAAGAAAAUGACAGUACCAUAGGAAUAAGGACCGGCUAAUUACGUGCCAGCAGCCGCGGUAAUACGUAAGGUCCGAGCGUUGUCCGGAAUCAUUGGGCGUAAAGGGUACGUAGGCGGGUAAGCAAGUUAGAAGUGAAAUCCUAUAGCUCAACUAUAGUAAGCUUUUAAAACUGCUCAUCUUGAGGUAUGGAAGGGAAAGUGGAAUUCCUGGUGUAGCGGUGAAAUGCGCAGAUAUUAGGAGGAAUACCGGUGGCGGAGGCGACUUUCUGGCCAUAACCUGACGCUGAGGUACGAAAGCGUGGGUAGCAAACAGG